rnacentral:rRNA from 1 species
UACGGGGGGUGCGAGCGUUGUCCGGAAUCACUGGGCGUAAAGGGCGCGUAGGUGGUUUGAUAAGGGUGUGGUGAAAGCCCGGGGCUCAACCCCGGGUCUGCCGUGCCGACUGUCAAACUCGAGGGCUGUAGAGGCAGACGGAAUUCCGGGUGUAGCGGUGGAAUGCGUAGAGAUCCGGAAGAACACCGGUGGCGAAGGCGGCCUGCUGGGCAGUGGCUGACGCUGAGGCGCGAAGGCCAGGGGAGCAAACGGG